GGGGUUGUGGCUCAGUGGCAGAGCACUUGCCUGGCAUGUGUGAAACCCUGGGUUCAAUCCUCAGCAUCACAU
rfam:Ictidomys tridecemlineatus contig104281, whole genome shotgun sequence.